ACGGAACAAGCUACAGAAUGCAAACAUGUUCUCCAGUUAUGAGAGCCAUAUCAGCUCCAGAGUGAAGCAAAAUAAUCCUUUGCAGUAAGCUGCUUUUCGUGGGAGAUGUGACACCUGUUUCCAGAUGUGUUGAGGGUUGAAUGGUUGAGCAACUGUGGUCUUUCAGAAGUUGCUGGAACUGCAGUUCCUGCCAGUGCUAGAUAUGAUCUCAGGACAAUGAAAGAAAAACAGUAUCUGGAAAGACCACUUCAUCUGUAUCUCAGCUCACUGGGAGAUUUCUUUGUAACAUUCUAUGCCAUGUGUCUUUUGGCAAAUUCCCAGAUGAAACUAGAACAUCUAUUUGUCUAUGAUCAGAACCAAAAUUAAUCCUGGCUAUCUUUAGUUUCACCUCACCGUUGAGCUGGUUGGACCAGAAUUAUAUCCUAUCAACAUCCUCAACAGUGAACCAUCUUUUGCCCAGAAGACCAAUUCAUAUUUAGGCAGGACAAGACCAAUGGAUGGAAGCUAAUCAAGGAAAGAACCAAACCAGAACUAAGAAGAAAUUUCCUAACAGAACAAUUCAUCAGUGGAAUGACUUUCCUCCAGAAGUUAUGGCCGCUUCAAUGCUGGAGGUUUUUAAGAAGAGAUUGGACAACCAUUUGUCUGAAAUGAUAUAGGUUUCCUGCUUGAGCAGAGGGUUGGAGUAGAAAACCUUUCCCUUUCAACUCUGCUAUUCUGUUCUGUUAUUCGUUUCUAGUUGUAUUACUCAGCCACCUCUUUGUACCUUAUUCCUAGCCAUCUAAUUUCCUAUGCUGUUUCCAUACAAAAUAACAAGGUAGCUAGUAACAAUGUCUGAAACCUAACUAUUUUUCUUUCUUUUUUAUUCCCCAAUCUGAAUUCCAGAGAAGAUCAUGAGUUGCCAAUCUGAAGACAUGUCUUUCAUAAAGAAUUAUCUGAGAAAGAGCAGCUGAUGUCUGGUUGACAGAAUGAGUAAUGCAAGUGACUCAUGACUUUCAAUUCUACUGUAGGGUUACAAUUAAAAAAAAAGGCAAUGGAAAAUUAAGGAAUAGUAAAAACACAGGAUACACAGGAUAAUAAUGCAUGUAAUCCAUUACUUAAUUUUUUCCAACUAUGGAACAAAUAAUGAGAAAAAAACCAAGAGAGACAUUAACAGCACUAUCUUGUCAGUUCCAUGCUCCCCUACAUAUGUUCACACAAAAUUAAGACCCAUUCCUGAUCAAUGAUUAUAGGAUUGCAGACUUUACACUAAUUUCAGACUGGAAAUUUGAAUGGAGGAGUUUUCGCUGAAAUACAAGCAGGAUCGUCCCAAGUCUUUAUGCAGUAUGAUGCACAGGUUUUAUCUGCUGCUAUCACUGGCCAUUGCCUCCUUUCCUUGGCAAGGGAUCCUGGGACUCCUGCCAAAAUACACAGAUGAACUUCCUACUAGGAUAAAAUGUGAUAAAGAUGCCCAUGAAAGGAGCCAAGUCUUUGCUGACUGUAUCCACACUGCUAUCUUGGUGGCAGUAUGGAGAUUUGCCAUUCCUUCUUCUGACAUGCUUUUUCCAACCUCCCAAUCUAACAGCUGUGGAGUUCAAAUGACAGCUUCUGAGAUCGCCAGACAGACAAGGACUAGGUUCUACCUCUGCUGAGAGUGCUGGCCACAAAAGGAAGGAAGCAUUUCAUUAUGGAUUACAUUUCCUCUUGGCAUGAGCGAUGGGGUAAUAUUCUAUUUUAGAUUUAGACCUACAAUUUUUAGGAAGUCAAAAUUAUUGCUUUCCUCCUCCUCCUCCUGAGUGAUGGGGCAAUUUUCCUUUGUUCCGCAGGAAAUUGGCUGGUGAAUUGUCCAGAAUGAUCAU